rnacentral:rRNA from 1 species
GCAGUCGAGCGGUAGAGAGGUGCUUGCACCUCUUGAGAGCGGCGGACGGGUGAGUAAAGCCUAGGAAUCUGCCUGGUAGUGGGGGAUAACGCUCGGAAACGGACGCUAAUACCGCAUACGUCCUACGGGAGAAAGCAGGGGACCUUCGGGCCUUGCGCUAUCAGAUGAGCCUAGGUCGGAUUAGCUAGUUGGUGAGGUAAUGGCUCACCAAGGCGACGAUCCGUAACUGGUCUGAGAGGAUGAUCAGUCACACUGGAACUGAGACACGGUCCAGACUCCUACGGGAGGCAGCAGUGGGGAAUAUUGGACAAUGGGCGAAAGCCUGAUCCAGCCAUGCCGCGUGUGUGAAGAAGGUCUUCGGAUUGUAAAGCACUUUAAGUUGGGAGGAAGGGCAUUAACCUAAUACGUUAGUGUUUUGACGUUACCGACAGAAUAAGCACCGGCUAACUCUGUGCCAGCAGCCGCGGUAAUACAGAGGGUGCAAGCGUUAAUCGGAAUUACUGGGCGUAAAGCGCGCGUAGGUGGUUCGUUAAGUUGGAUGUGAAAUCCCCGGGCUCAACCUGGGAACUGCAUUCAAAACUGUCGAGCUAGAGUAUGGUA